rnacentral:rRNA from 1 species
AAGCUCGUAGUUGAAUUUCGGGGUUAGUAGGUUGGUCAUGCCUCUGGUAUGUACUGGUCUCACUGAUUCCUCCUUCCUUAUGAACCGUAAUGCCAUUAAUUUGGUGUUGUGGGGAAUUUGGACUGUUACUUUGAAAAAAUUAGAGUGUUUAAAGCAAGCUAACGCUUGAAUACAUUAGCAUGGAAUAAUGAAAUAGGACGUUCGAUCUUAUUUUGUUGGUUUUCUAGGAUUGACGUAAUGAUUAAUAGGGAUAGUUGGG